UGGGCGUAAGCGCGCGCAGGUGGUUCCUUAAGUCUGAUGUGAAAGCCCACGGCUCAACCGUGGAGGGUCAUUGGAAACUGGGGAACUUGAGUGCAGAAGAGGAAAGUGGAAUUCCAAGUGUAGCGGUGAAAUGCGUAGAGAUUUGGAGGAACACCAGUGGCGAAGGCGACUUUCUGGUCUGUAACUGACACUGAGGCGCGAAAGCGUGGGGAGCAAACAGGAUUAGAUACCCUGGUAGUCCACGCCGUAAACGAUGAGUGCUAAGUGUUAGAGGGUUUCCGCCCUUUAGUGCUGCAGCUAACGCAUUAAGCACUCCGCCUGGGGAGUACGGCCGCAAGGCUGAAACUCAAAGACAUUGACGGA
rnacentral:rRNA from 1 species